GAUGAACGCUGGCGGCGUGCUUAACACAUGCAAGUCGAACGGAAAGGCUCCUGCUUGCCGGGGCACUCGAGUGGCGAACGGGUGAGUAACACGUGGGUGAUCUGCCCUGCACUUCGGGAUAAGCCUGGGAAACUGGGUCUAAUACCGGAUAGGACCAUCGUUUAGUGUCGGUGGUGGAAAGUUUUUUCGGUGUGGGAUGAGCUCGCGGCCUAUCAGCUUGUUGGUGGGGUAAUGGCCUACCAAGGCGUCGACGGGUAGCCGGCCUGAGAGGGUGUACGGCCACAUUGGGACUGAGAUACGGCCCAGACUCCUACGGGAGGCAGCAGUGGGGAAUAUUGCACAAUGGGCGCAAGCCUGAUGCAGCGACGCCGCGUGGGGGAUGACGGCCUUCGGGUUGUAAACUCCUUUCGCCAGGGACGAAGCGAAAGUGACGGUACCUGGAUAAGAAGCACCGGCUAACUACGUG
rnacentral:rRNA from 1 species